CCCUUAGAUGUUCUGGGCCGCGCGCGCGCUACACUGACGAAUGCAACGAGCUUAUAACCUUGUCCGAAAGGUCUGGGUAAUCUCCAAAUUUCGUCGUGAUGGGGAUAGAUUAUUGCAAUUAUUAAUCUUCAACGAGGAAUGCCUAGUAAGCACAAGUCAUCAGCUUGCGUUGAUUACGUCCCUGCCCUUUGUACACACCGCCCGUCGCUCCUACCGAUUGAAUGGUCCGGUGAAGCGUUCGGACCGUGGCCUUUGGACGGUUCGCCGUCUGUUGGCUGCGGGAAGUUCGUUAAACCUUAUCAUUUAGAGGAAGGAGAAGUCGUAACA
rnacentral:rRNA from 1 species